AUGAUCAACUCGGUCACCUAUAACAUCUCCAAGUUUCUGGCUUCGAUCCUCAACCCGCUGGUGGGCAGCUCUGAACACCACAUCCAGAACACCCUGGAUUUUGUUGAGAAGGUGAGAGAUGUCAUUAUGGAGGCAGAUGAAACCAUGGUCUCGUACGACGUUACAUCUCUCUUCACUUGCAUCCCAGUCACGGAAGCGUUGGAGGUAGUCCGUAAGAGAUUACAGGAUGACACCAACCUCAGCAACAGGACCACUCUCAGCAUCGACCAAGUGUGUUUGCUUUUGGAACUGUGUCUUCAUUCCACCUACUUCACAUACAAGGGUCAGUUCUACAGGCAGAAACAUGGGUGUGCCAUGGGCUCCCCAGUUUCACCCAUCGUGGCCAAUUUGUACAUGGAAGAAGUGGAAAAGAGGGCGUUGCUAUCCUACCCUGGAACACCACCAAGCCAUUGGUUCAGAUAUGUGGAUGACACCUGGGUGAAAAUCAAAUCUCAGGACGUACUACAUUUCACAGAUCACAUUAACUCGGUGGACCAACACAUCAAAUUCACCAGGGAGGAUAUGAAAAGUGGCAGGUUAGCCUUCUUAGACUGUGAGAUUUCCAUCAGUAAUGGGGGACAUCUAAAAGCUGACGUGUACCGUAAACCUACGCAUACGGAUCAGUAUCUAAGGUUUGACUCUCAUCAUCCACUGGAGCACAAACUGGGUGUCGUCAGAACGCUACAACACAGAGCGAACACCAUCCCCACUGACACAGCGGCCAGGGAGGCAGAAGAACAGCACAUCAAGAAGGCCCUGAGUAAAUGUGGUUAUCCCAGCUGGACUUUUGUCAAAGCUGGGAAGGCACCUAAAGAAAGCUCCAGCCGAUCCAGGAGAGAAGGACAACCGCUGCCCAGGCGAAAACCUGUAGUGAUCCCAUAUGUGUCAGGAGUAUCGGAACAGUUGAGACGCAUUUUUUCUAAACACCGGGUCUCUGUGGCUUUUAAACCCCAAAAUACGCUGCGCCAAAAACUGGUCCACCCCAAGGAUUGGGUCCCCCGACACAAACAGAGUAACAUAGUGUACACUGUUAAGUGCCAGGAGGAUUGCCAGGAUUUAUACAUCGGGGAAACCAAACAACCUCUGGCGAAGCGGAUGGCACAACACAGAAGAGCAACCUCAUCAGGCCAGGACUCUGCAGUUUAUUUACACCUACAGGCCAGUGGACACUCUUUCAACGAUGAGGAUGUACACAUCCUGGACAGGGAAGAACGCUGGUUUGAGCGCGGAGUCAAGGAGGCCAUUUACGUGAAAAGGGAAAGACCAUCUCUGAAUCGAGGAGGGGGCCUAAGGGUACAUCUUUCGCCAUCUUACAAUGCUGUGAUUGCAGCCAUUCCCCAACUCUCUGUGAAUGGUACUCAUGGCCAUUGA
ensembl:lncRNA